rnacentral:lncRNA from 1 species
AUUUUAUUAUUUGCGGCUUUCGCUUUAUCCACGACACCCUAUUAAGACAUGAUUGCCAGUAAACCUUGGAAAACUGCGUAAUGGAUGUUCACAUUAAAAGUCAUAGACGAAAGCACAAUAUCAAUGAGCAUAGCCCUUACAACAAGACAAUUCCAAAACAUAAGCAAAGCAACAUCAGNUUCAUUUUUUACAAUGACCCAUGCUUUCCUAUAUAGACCUAGAGNCCUCUUCAUUUGUCCAUGGCAUUUGCAGAGGCGAACUNUCNCCUUGCCACAGUACUGGAUUGACUUUCUUCAAACUUUAAACAUCCUGAAUCGAUUAAAGAUUGCACCUUAUGCCUUAAAGCCUUGCAUGCCUCUGUUGAAUGCCUACGUGCUCCUUCAUGAUAAUCACACCUGACAUUUAUUUCAUAGUUCUUUGGGUAAGGAGGUCGUACCGACCUGGUAGGAAAAACUUUUAUGAGGUUGUUGCGCAGCAGAUCUGGCAGCAGCUCUGUAUAGGUCAUGGGGAUAGGAGUGAAAUUAACGACCUUCUCAUUACGAUUGUACUUUCUCUACUCCAUGGCUCGAUUGGGCCCAUAAGAAUGUGAUGUCUGGGAAUAGGCAGUAAAAUGCGAAUUAGUCUUCGGUUCUUUAUAUUUCUCGCGCCAUACUCAUUCAAACUCGCUACCAUGUUUGGGACUAGUGCAAUUUUUUCGUUUCUUAUGCCAC